AAAAUAUUUGUAAAUUGGAGAUUUUUUUUUCCUGUUCGUCUCCCCUGGCCUGGUGGCCUGACCGCCUGAGCCUUCCCCUUUCUUCCUCCUCUGACUCUCCUCCCCCUCCUUUCCCCACCCGUAUCACCGCCGAGCCGAGCCGAGCCGGGCUGACUCCAACUCCGGCCGCCCCGCCUCACAAGCACCACCAUGGAAGGUCCAAGCUAGCUGACAUAACAUGACUGCAGAGAAUUAUUAUAUACCGUUACAUAUCUUAAAAAAGAUUACAAAUGGAUUCUCAGCGGACUCAAGAAUAGGAAGGGGUGGGUAUGGAGACGUUUACAAGGGAGUUUACAAUAGGAGAGAGAUUGCUGUGAAGUUGCUUCAUGUUGAUACGGUGCUAGGACUUGAUGACCAACAAUAUAUCAAUGAAGUUGGUAACCUUUUGAAGGUUAAGCAUCCAAAUAUCGUACAGUUACUUGGCUAUUGUUAUGAAAUACAGAAUGAACUAAUUGAACACAAUGGUGCAAAUCAAUUUAGCCAACACAUAUAUAGAGUCCUCUGCUUUGAGUACUUGCAGUGUGGAAGCCUAGACAAGCAUCUUUGUGCACAAUCUUUCGCACCUAAUUGGAGCACACAUUACAAUAUUAUAAAGGGGAUCUGUGAAGGUUUAAAUUUCCUUCACGAAUGCAAACCACAAAUUUGUCAUCUUGAUUUGAAGCCGACCAAUAUAUUACUAGACAGUUCCAUGGAGCCUAAAGUGGCGGAUUUUGGAUUGUAAAGGCUAUUCACUCCAUCACACACACAUAUCACACAAAGAAUCAUAGGAACCCGGAAGUACAUGCCACCAGAAUUCCUUAAUGAAGGCAAAAUCUCACCUAAGAAUGACGUCUUCGGUUUCGGUGUUGUAAUGAUCGAGAUAAUGGCAGGACCUGCAGGUUACUCCAAUUCUUUUGAAAUGCAUGAUGUGGCACAAUUAAUGCAGCAGGUACUUACCAAUUGUACAAUGAUUGAAGCCACAUCGAAUAACCGAUCAGAGGAAUUACGUCAGGUGAAAACGUGUAUCGAAUUAGCAAUGCGUUGUGUGGAUUCAGAAAGAGACAAUAGGCCCUCUGUAGCAGAUAUCCUAGAUACCCUGAAUAAGACAGAAACUCAUAUUCCCAAGAGACAGGAACGUAAGAAUUAGAGUGCGCAAGUUCAAAAUCGUGCCUUGCAGCGCGAGAGUGACUGUGGCAUCGGACUCCUAUGAGGCACCCGACAGGCUUAGAGGAUAGGGUGAUCGGAACAAGGAGGCUGUUGGAAAUAACCCAAAGUUGCCUAGCUAAGUUUGAGUCAGAAAACGUGAGGUUUCCAUAUUUUGUUUGGCUUGGAUGCCAUAUGUUAGUUUUAGCUACGCCAUAGUUGCACGUGGCUUUGGUCGUGUAUAAGGAGUACUAUUCUGUGAUGGAUUAGCAUACCUUGUUGAUCAUUGAGUCAUUGUAACUUGGUUGCUAUAAAUAAAGGAGUGACCCAUGUAAUAGCAACAUGCCUGCCGUGUCUGUGCGUUGUGUUUUGCCCAUGAUCUUCCACCAAGUUCAAUCUAGUUGCCAUAGCAUGGUCAAUCUGUGGGCUUAAACCAACAUGGGCGGAUCUGUCCUUGGGGCACUCUGUUGCAUUCAGUUGGGAACUUAAUUGAAUCGGUGAAGGUGGUGAGUCUCAGCAGGCAAGUCUAUGUGAAGCACAUUUUUAAUUUCAGGAAAUGCUGCCUUUUUUCUAAGCGUUGCUCUCAAAUCAGUGUUCCCGGGCUGGAGAGGGCCAAGAAGAGGAAGAAGACGGGAGGGAACUUGAAGGGGAUUGCAAAAGAACGUACCCAUUUCACUGUCAUGCAAGAAAAUGCCCCUAGUCUGCUUGAAAACAGGGAUCACCGGGAAACAUCAGCAAAGAUAGGAGCAGAAGUCGUAGGGAGGGAAAUGGAAAAACAGGAAAUUAUGGCUCAUUUAUCUGGGAGUACCACACAAGAGAUCACCUUCCUUUCGAUAUAUGGUAUUGGAGGCAUUGGGAAGACAACCAUGGCACAAUUUGUUUUCAAUGAUUUCCAGUUCAAAGAGUACUCUCGGGUUUGGACCUAUGUGUCCCAGACAUUUGAUUUAAAGAAAAUUGGGAAUUCUAUAAUAACACAACUAUCCGGUAGCAAGAGUAUGCAUACUGACCUUCCGAUGAUAGAAAAUAGCCUACAAAAGCUCCUUUCUGGUAAGAGGGUUCUAAUCAUCUUAGAUGACCUGUGGGAGAGGGAAUCCCCUCAGUUAAAAAAGUUGGAGAGUAUGCUAAAUCUGGGUGAAGGCGGCAAAUUGGUGGUGGUAGUAACCACACGAGAAGAAUCUGUUGCACAUAAAAUUCACACUGGCACAGUGAAGCCAUAUAAGCUAGCUCCCUUAACAGAUGAAAUUUGUUGGACUAUCAUAAAAAAUAAAAGUUCAUUUGAAAAUAGAGCUGAAAGAGCGCAGUUAGAAUUGAUCGGAAAGGAAAUUGCAAAGAAGUGUGGAGGUGUGGCUUUAGCAGCCCAGUCUAUUGGGUAUAUGUUGUAUGCUAUGGAAUUUGAUGAAUGGGUGUCGGUGAACAACAGUGAGAUCUGGGACGUGCUUGCCUCAGGAGAAUCAACUCAUCAUGUUCAUGCAUCCUUGCUGCUAAGCUAUCACGUUAUGGAUAAAUACUUGAAGUUAUGCUUUGCUUAUUGUGCAACCUUUCCAAAAGGUCACAAGAUAGCUAAAGAAGAUCUAGCUCACCAAUGGAUUGCUCUUGGACUUGUUGAGCCGUCAAGGACAUUCUCUGAUAUACAAACCAGUCAUAAAUAUAUUCGUCAUCUUUUUGGCAUGUGCUUCCUUGAACAUCCAAGGUCACAAUGGACUUAUAUGGACGUCGAUAAUGGAUUCUUGAUCAUGCAUGACCUGGUGCACGAUCUCGCAAGAUCAUUUCUGGCUGAUAAAAUUAUUGUAGAGAGUCCUGCCUGCCAAUAUGCAUGGCUGACAGAUCAUAGAAAGCUAUUCAAGUCAUCAAUGAAUCCACUCACCAAGCUAUUUAUGUCAUCAAUGAAUCCACUUGCCAAGCUAUUUAAGUCAUCAGUGACUCCACUCGCCAAGAUAAGGGCACUGCAUUUUCUCGACCGUGCUUACUUGCAGCUUAAUGGUGAAGCUUUUUCACCGGCUAAAUGCCUCCUUGUCCUGGAUUUAAGCAGAUGUUGUGCACAAAAGCUGCCUGAUUCUAUGGGUCAACUGAAACAGUUGAGGUAUCUCGAUGUUUCAUGGAACCCCGAGUUUACUGAAUCUUCUGAAUACCAAGCAUCACCGGAGUCUAUAUUGAUACCGAAAGCCCUGGGUUCCCUUUAUGAACUCCAAUAUUUGAAUUUAUCAGGUCGCGGAAGACCCAUAGGGCCGCCAGAGGUCAUCAGCAAACUCACGGAACUCCGGUAUUUGAAUAUAUCUCAUUGCAAGGGUUAUUAUUUAUUGGACAUCCCAUCAGCAAACCAAAGUUUCAUUGACUGUAUCGGUACCCUUCCUAAUCUGGAGCAGCUGGACAUGUCUUUUAAUAACUAUGGUUUCUGUGUACCUGAAAGUUUCAGCAGGCUCAAGAAGCUGAACCUCUCCGGCUGCCAGUACAUUGCUAGCCUUCCAGAAAAUGUGGGGAAAGUGGAUAUUCCAAGGCUUUUUGGCUUGUUGUUCCCGCAAAAGGGAGGGUUUCCUGUGCGUGUGGUUGAUAGUGAAUCUAGCAGCAGUCUUGUCUGGCUUAAGCAUACAAAUCCUGAUGUUUUGGGGAUCGCCGAUCUUGAAAAUGUGAGGUCCGUGGAAGAGGCACGCAGUAUAAGGUUGAUGGAAAAACAGAGAAUUAAAGAAUUGUCAUUGCAGUGGAGCGGAGGUGUGAGUUCUGUGGAACACAUGGAGUUGCUAACAGAGCUAGUGCCACCAAGCUCUGUAAAGAAUUUCAAGAUAACACGUUACAAGGAUGUCAUGUUUCCGCACUGGUUUAUGCAUAUAAACAAAUAUCUUCCUAAUCUUGUGAGUUUGGAGAUGUGGGGUGUGCUUUGCCGCAGCCUACCAACAACACUCGUCCCACUACCCAACCUACGAAAGAUUGUUCUCAGCAACAUGCAUAACCUGGAAGAGUUCAACACAGCAUGCUCUAUAGGCGAGGAUGGUGCAAAUGAGCUCACGUUGGCUAAACUUGAGUAUCUGGCGUAUAUCACGUGCUGACAAUGUGCUAUCGUCAUGGGGAGAGUGUGCGUCAAGCGCAGCUGCUUCCUCCUCAUCUUCUUCUGUGAGUAAGCUAGAAGUUGAAUACUCUGAGUUGCCUUUGCACCAGUGGAGAUUGCUUCACCACCUACAUCGUCUUAGUGAUUUAACUAUCUCCGAUUGCAAUGAUCUGACCAUCUCACCACAGAUCUCCCGAGCCUUCACCUCCCUUGAAUCACUGGAAUUUCGUAGCCUGGAAAAAUUGCCAGAGUGGUUAGGUGAGCUCACAUCUCUUCGGCAGCUGAACUUAAUAUCCAUCCGUCACCUACAGGAAUUGCAUGAGAACAUGAGGCAGCUUAGACAGCUGCAAUCGCUCCACCUGCACUUUUGCAAUACGUCGACAUCACCACCGCAAUGGUUAGGAGAACUCACCUUGCUUAAGACACUUAAAAUCACUUAUUGCAAGGGCAUCAUUUCUUUACCGGAGAGCAUACUCACCAACCUCCAAGAACUUUAUAUUUCGAACUGCCCUGAAUUAUAUAGAUGGUGUAAGUUAGAAGAGAACCAGAUGAAACUAGCUCACAUCAAGGAAAAGUUUAUCUAGGAAACAUUCGGCUCGAGGCAUUUGGGAAACACUUCAGUGAGAUGAUAAGUAUGAUUUAGCAUCUCCUGUAUGCGAUCCAGAUGGCAUGUUGACGAUCGAGGAUGGUGGUCCUUGGAGCUCUUCUGACGCCCCAGGUGGAGACCUUCACUUAGAAUUACAGCGCUUUGAUGAUCUUCAAUUGCAUGUUUUGUUGCCUUUUAUUUCCAUGUGUUUUUAUUUACUUCGGGCACCGAUUGUUUGAAUACUUCACUUUAUUUCCCCUUUUGUAUUGCGUGGCUAAAUAACUUUUGCGUUGUGGGGCUAAAUCACCCUGUAAUAAUUUCAUGAUUGUGUGCAUCUUGAGGAAUCUGGUAGCACCCAAACAGGUUGUAGCAAUAUAACUGUUCUUUACAUACUA